GACCCACCCUCAAUCUGGGUGGGUACCAUCUAAUCAGCAGCCAGCAUGGCUAGAAUAAAGUAGGCAGAAGAAGAUGGGAGAAGUCUACUUGCUGAGUCUUCUGGCCUUCAUCUUUCUCCUAUGCUGGAUGCUUCCUGCCCUCAAACAUCAGACUCAAGGUUUUUCAGCUUUUUGACUCUUGGACUUACACUAGUGGUUUGCCAGGGACUCUUGGGCCUUUGGCCACAAACCGAAGGCUACACUGUCAGCUUCCCCACUUUUGAGAUUUUGCGACUCAGACUGGCUUCCUUGCUCCUCAGCUUGCAGAUGGCCUCUUGUGGGACUUCACCUUGUGAUCGUGGAUGGGCUUCUUCCUGGACCCUUUUGAAAUAACAAGAACUUCAAGAUGCAGCAGUUACAAAUGGGUACAUUUUCACACAGAAAAACAGAGGGGAAAUAAAGAAACAACACUUGGCAAACCAUGACAGAGAUCUUACCUAGAUACGCUGUGUUGACAUCUUUGUUUCUUCCAGAACCCUGUUAUUAGAAGAGAUCAAGUCUGACCUGCUCUGUAAAAGAAGGUAGAUGACUUAGAAGCCACUUCUUAUCCUCGGUGACAGCCUUGAACAGAGUCUAAAAGGAUAGCAAAGAUUCUUCUUUGACAAGGGCUUAGCAAACACAAAGUUCCCAUACCCUGGGCGGUGCAAAGUGUUGCUAUGGCUUGUUGGAGAGAUCUCAAGAAUCAACACUGAAAAUCACCUCUCCUGACAUCGUGCUUUGUGAAUUGCCAAGACUCACAGCAGAAAACAGCUGUCCUGUAUUGAAACCAGCCCUGCAUUAAAGCCAGCAACUUUCUUACAGCAGUGCCAUGAAGAGCUCUUGAGACCACUGAAGCACAGACCACUGGAUUCUCCAGGUGUUGCUAAAAUAGAAGAGCUUAUAUAAAUCAAGGUGGUGGAGCUGACUUGGUACCAUGACUAUCAGCUUUCUGCUUCCUUCUCCACCUCCUCCUUCUUCACUGGAAACCAUCUAAUGAGCCACAAGGAGAGUGAAGAUGAUACCCUAGAUAUGACACCUGCCUGAACACAGCUCCCUAAAGCCCAUUCCCUCAAGUACGGAAGGCUGGCAUUAUAUCAACCCACCUGCUUCUGGAAGGGAGAGGAAAAAAAUCAGAAUCGCUCAACCUGCACAUUGCUGUCAGCUUGUGAUUAUGUGAAUGAAUCUCAGUUACCAAUGAAAGAAGACUUAUCCCUGGAGAAAGCAUUCAUUGAUGAGGAUGGCAGCAGCUGAGAGGUGACAGUGGUGAGUAGGCAGAGCAGGAGAGUGAAGGAUCAUUUCAACUGCUGCAUCAGGAAAGGAGGCAAAAAGCCUCAAGACAUAUUCAGUGCUGAAUGGCUUCUGAGCACAUCCCCUGAAGUUAAAACAAAUGUCUUGACACAAAGAUGAAGAGAGACCCUGGAAGUAGAAGUUAAUUUACAUGGGACUCUACUCUUUUAUUUCUCCAAGAUCACAUUCUCUCUUUUGUUCCUCUGAUAUAAAAAUACAUGUGUUUUGUACCAGAGUAAAGUGACAAAAGUCAGGCCUCAAUGCAAGUGACAUUUAAAUAAUCCUUUUUUAAAGUCACAGAAGAUUGCAACUUCUAGACUCCUGUAAGAACUGAGGAGCAGAGAAUGUUUGACAGAAAAAUGAAGAAAAGAAUCCAUCCUAAAUACUGUAGGGCAACUUCUGAAUGUGGUUUUCCUAAUAGGGAGUUGUCAGUAACAAGCAAAAUUUCUCAGAAAGUUGAGCAAAACCAGAUUGGAAUGAAAACCACUGGGAUGAAAUACUGAGGCAAACAACAGUAUUUCUUUCUGGGAUACUUUGAAACAAAGCCUCUGGGAAGAAAAUGACUCAGAGAUGUUAUAUUUAAGCAAGUAAGUUGGCCCCUAUGCUGGUAUGAGCUGUUAUGCUCUACCAUGGUCUAGUUGAUAUAACCAAGAGUAAUCAGAAGCCAUGAAGGAAAAUUCAGGAAUCUUUUUGUGAAACUGAGUACUAAAGCACCAGUGUUUCAGUCAAUGGAUACCAGAACUUUGCAGGCACAAAAAGGAACCCAAGAUCUGCUCAGAUAGUGGGAGUGUAGAAAAUUAAAUAUCUAUUCAAUUACCUAUUAAUCCAUUAUUAUGAUGGAUGCUUCAGGCAAAAAGUAGCCAAUUCCCCUGAAAAUAUCUGGUCAAUACACUUUUAUGAUCGAAACACUGACAUAGGCAAUUUUUUUGGUAAUCUAUCGGAGGCCAAUUCAAACAGUAAUUUUACUCUUAUUAGAAACAUUAAAUUUGGGAAUACUUCAGAAGAGUACUACUCUAGUCUAAAGUUGACCAAUCUGGGUUCUAUGGAGCUCUAGUUUUUGAAAAUGUUAUAGCAUGAAAAGAAGUGCUUUCUGCUCAUACAAAUUAGUGAAGCCCGAAGAUAAACAAUAUUAAACAGGAUUCUUAUUUACAGGACUUUCCAGAGAAUUUAUUAGGCUUAUAUAGAUUUUGAAUCUCUAAAAGGUGGUUACAGAAUGCAUUUCCCCAAUAUACUGGUCAACAGGACUCUCUUUUUUUAGGAAGAAUGCUUAUAAAUAUCUUAACUAUUGUUCCACAGAUCAGAGUAUGGGACCUCUAAGAAAAUUCAUUCUCUUUUCUGCCAAUAAAAUGAAUAAUAAUGAAAUCUUUUAACUAAAUAUUUUUCAUGGAUGGGUACAUU